UAAGCGGUUGAAGGUGUGUGGUAACGCAUGCUGGACGUAUCAGAAGUGCGAAUGCUGACAUGAGUAACGAUAAAGGGGGUGAAAAACCUCCUCGCCGGAAGACCAAGGGUUCCUGUCCAACGUUAAUCGGGGCAGGGUAAGUCGACCCCUAAGGCGAGGCCGAAAGGCGUAGUCGAUGGGAAACGGGUUAAUAUUCCCGUACUUCUUACAAUUGCGAUGGGGGGACGGAGAAGGCUAGGUGGGCCUGGCGACGGUUGUCCAGGUUCAAGUGCGUAGGCUUAAGAGUUAGGUAAAUCCGGCUCUUUUUAAGGCUGAGACACGACGUCGAGCACCUACGGGUGUGAAGUCAUUGAUGCCAUGCUUCCAGGAAAAGCCUCUAAGCUUCAGAUUGUAAGGAAUCGUACCCCAAACCGACACAGGUGGUCGGGUAGAGAAUACCAAGGCGCUUGAGAGAACUCGGGUGAAGGAACUAGGCAAAAUGGUACCGUAACUUCGGGAGAAGGUACGCUCUUGAUGGUGAAGUCCCUUGCGGAUGGAGCUGACGAGAGUCGCAGAUACCAGGUGGCUGCAACUGUUUAUUAAAAACACAGCACUGUGCAAAAUCGUAAGAUGACGUAUACGGUGUGACGCCUGCCCGGUGCCGGAAGGUUAAUUGAUGGGGUUAGACUUCGGUCGAAGCUCUUGAUCGAAGCCCCGGUAAACGGCGGCCGUAACUAUAACGGUCCUAAGGUAGCGAAAUUCCUUGUCGGGUAAGUUCCGACCUGCACGAAUGGCGUAAUGAUGGCCACGCUGUCUCCACCCGAGACUCAGUGAAAUUGAAAUCGCUGUGAAGAUGCAGUGUACCCGCGGCUAGACGGAAAGACCCCGUGAACCUUUACUACAGCUUGGCACUGAACAUUGACCCUACAUGUGUAGGAUAGGUGGGAGGCUUUGAAGCACG
rnacentral:rRNA from 1 species